rnacentral:rRNA from 1 species
CACGUAGGGUGCGAGCGUUGUCCGGAAUUACUGGGCGUAAAGGGCUCGUAGGUGGCCAACUAAGUCAGACGUGAAAUCCCUCAGCUUAACUGGGGAACUGCGUCUGAUACUGGAUGACUUGAGUUUGGGAGAGGGACGCGGAAUUCCAGGUGUAGCGGUGAAAUGCGUAGAUAUCUGGAGGAAUACCGGUGGCGAAGGCGGCAUCCUGGACCGACAUUGACGCUGAGGAGCGAAAGCUAGGGGAGCAAACGGG